UGAACGCUGGCGGCAUGCCUAACACAUGCAAGUCGAACGGAAACAGGACGCUAUGAUCUCUUCGGAGUGAAUUUGUCGCUGUCGAGUGGCGGACGGGUGAGUAAUGCAUAGGAAAUUGCCUUGAAGUGGGGGAUAGCCCGGAGAAAUCCGGAUUAAUACCGCAUAUGCUCUACGGAGCAAAGUGGGCCUCUGAUUUAAGCUCAUGCUUUGAGAUAUGCCUAUGUCGGAUUAGCUUGUUGGUGGGGUAAAAGCCUACCAAGGCGACGAUCCGUAGCUGGUUUGAGAGGAUGAUCAGCCACACUGGGACUGAGACACGGCCCAGACUCCUACGGGAGGCAGCAGUGGGGAAUAUUGGACAAUGGGCGCAAGCCUGAUCCAGCAAUGCCGCGUGUGUGAAGAAGGCCUGCGGGUUGUAAAGCACUUUUAUCGGGAAAGAAAUCCUUAAGGUUAAUAACCUUGAGGCUUGACGGUACCCGAGGAAUAAGCACCGGCUAACUCA
rnacentral:rRNA from 1 species